rnacentral:lncRNA from 1 species
UCAAAUAAACCUCAACUAAAAAUAAAAAAUGUUUUACAACAAUUGGGAUGACCCGAACAAUCACCCAUCAGUAGGUGUUGAUAUUCUUCUCGCUUGAUAUUCUUUUCUUUUUCUUCUUCCUGCUGAAUCUCUUCAAAAAAUUAAGAACACCAAGCACUUGUUUCCAUGUUUCAAUCAUAGGAACUUUGAUCUCCAAUUUCUUGAACAUCUCCAUGGAGCACAUAAAUUUCUUUUCUUUUCCAUGAUCUUUUCUUCUUUCCUCUCUUCCUCUUUUUCUCAGUCUUUUCCUCCCUCAACUCUCUCUUUUUCUCUUUUCUUCUUUUCUUCUUUAUUUUCACAUAUUUUUUCUUUUUUUCUUUUUUCUCAACCACUUCUUUUUCAUUCUCCUCAUCUUUCUCUCCCUCACUCAACCUUUAUGUUUCUUUUUCCUCUAUAUUUUCCUUGUUUCUCUCUAUUUUUUUCUCCUCUAUCUUCUCCUAAGCAACAACCUUUUCUGUUUCUAUCUUCUCCUCAUCAAAAACCUCAUCAAUUUGUGUCUUCAAAUUCGUGAAGGUAAAUUCAUAACUCUUGGAAUUGUACUUCUCCAAGAAUUUGUCGAACUUUUCAUUAAAGCUUUUGAGUUGUUCCACCACAUCAGCUACCUGUUGGCAUAGUUGUUGAUCAUACUCCCACAUUUCUAUUGGUGAAAAGGGUUGUUGUUGCCUCUCUUCUAUGCUUCCAUGAGAAGAAAAUCUUGUAUACAUGUCCUGUGGAAAAAGUUCGUCAUUCUUUGUAUUCUCCUCUAUGCUUUUGACAUGGUAUACUUCCAAAUUCAUGAUUCUCUGAAGAAGUCCAUCAGACUCUGUAUUUUUCUUAAUUGGAGUAAAUUGUUGCUCAACAACUUGCUCAAAUUGGCUUUGAU